UACGUAGGGGGCAAGCGUUGUCCGGAAUCAUUGGGCGUAAAGCGCGCGUAGGCGGCCCGGUAAGUCCGCUGUAAAAGUCCAGGGCUCAACCCUGGAAAGCCGGUGGAUACUGUCGGGCUCGAGUCCGGAAGAGGCGAGUGGAAUUCCUGGUGUAGCGGUGGAAUGCGCAGAUAUCAGGAGGAACACCAAUGGCGAAGGCAGCUCGCUGGGACGGUACUGACGCUGAGGCGCGAAAGCGUGGGGAGCGAACAGG
rnacentral:rRNA from 1 species